GAGAGAGAGAGAGAUAGAGAGAUGGAAAGAGAGCGAGGGGGAGGGGUAGGGGUCUCAGUGAUGUUGCUGCAGAUGGAUUUCACAAGUGGGAGAGUGGGGAUGGUCCGAGAAAACCAUAUGGGUCGUCAGGAUUUCAGGGAGAGGGAUAGGGGUCAUGAACAGGCAACUGAGGGUGGUGUGUGCCGGAUCUUGCGCUGCAUGCCCGGAUUUCCAAAGAUAAGUUCCUUUUUUUAAUUGGAUUCUUUACUGUUAGCUUAGAUUUUUGAAUUUUUAAUACGUUAGGUCAGGUUUUGGGGGAUUCAUCUCUCUGUUUACUCCCUUAUUUGUUUCAUUUUCUCUCAUUUUGGGGAUUCAUCCCUUUUUUUUUGUGGGUUUUCAGUUUGUUAAUUUGUUUAAUUGUUGUUAAUUUUACAGUUUAAUUGUUUCCCCUAAUCUGGAUUGUUAAGUUUUGGAUCUUUUUUUUUUUUCCCAAAAUCCACAUGAACUGAGCUUUGGUGCUAAAGGAGACAUGGAUUUUAUUUUGUGCUGGAGUUUAUAAUGUAUUUAGAUUGGGAACACAAUCUUUGUUGAAUUCUAAGUUUGUUGUUUUAGUAUAACAAUUGCCUAUAUGUUUCGGAUGAGGUAUUUUUCUUACCUUUUCUUUCUUUCUUUACCGAUACCGAAGUCCCUCUUUCGUGGAGGAACUUCGCUUCACUCUCCUUGAAGAAACCAAGUUUGUGGUUACGUAUAUGAUAACCUAGAAGCAUCAGCUUCUGAGGGUGUCAUUCAUUGCAUGUGGUUAUUGAAAACAAGCCAGUCCAAAUAUGUGAUGGUUUACGCGUAUUAGGUGGGAAGUUCAAAGUAGAUCAACAAAAAUUAGACAAUUUGUGAUUAUGAUUACAACUUUCAAGGAAACAUCAAUUAAAUAACCACUCUAGAGGUAGGUAAUUGUUGUUGUUGUCAAAAGCAUAAUGUUGGCGUAGAAGGUAAAUGAGUUGCGUCGUGUUUUCUGAUCUGAGGAUAGCCAAGAUGAAGCCGGAUUUCAAAUCUGCCAAGGAUGUCAACACAAAUCUUUCCCGCUUGAUCUCAUAUAAGCCUUAGCCUGAUUAAGCAAAAAAAAAAAAAAGGCUUUUGGGCUACCAUGGUCUAAUUGGCUGUCCUAGUGUGUGCUGUUUGUGUUUUCAUUAAUUUCAUACUGCAUAUGUUCAUGUAUUGCUUCUCCUAAUACAUAUCCUGUUCUGUGGGUGAAUCUGGACAAUCUAAGAAGUCACAGUCAUCUAAGACCAUUGAUGGUGAUGGUGAUGGUGAUGGUGAUGAGGAUUGGUCACGGAUUUCUUAGUUGCUGUCGAGAAUAGCUACUUUCAGAAACAAAUUGAUAGACAAAUGGCAGAGGAAGACGGAAGUGACCACAGGUGCUGCUGAUAUUAAAAGCAAGCCGCAUGCUUUUAAUCAGAGUAUUAGUAAACAAGUUGCUUCUUAUAUAAAAGACCCAACCAGAAUGGUUGGGCAGAUGCAGAUGUGGAAAUUAGCAGUUGCUGUAUUUGGCUCUGUUCCUGUGGGGGAGAACACUGCAAAGGGAAAGGUACUGAUUGCAUAUAAUUGUGGUUAACUAUAAUUCUAUACUAAUCUGAGGACCCAUUUAUAAAUUCAUUGGAAUUAAAUGUCCCAUGGAAUUUACAAUUUUCCCAUGUGCUAUUUUAACUCCCAAAUGAGGUACAAAUUCAUUGUUUGGGAUGCAUGCUGUUUAUAAUUAAUUUGAUAUGGCGUUUGAGCAAAUUUUGGGUUGUUUGUGGUGUUUGCUUCAAUUUUCUUUUUGGAUGGCCCCGAUGUGACUUGACGAAUUUGUGCCUUUUAUUGCUAUAAGAAUAAAUCAUGCAACCAGUGUGCGAGGGCUGUGUGUGUUUCAGUACUCUUCAUGCGCCAUUAACUUUAAUGAUUUUCAAACAAUUUGGACUUGUCUGUAUCUGCGUCAUGAGGGAAGUUUCAUUCAAACAAUCUGUAUCUGAGUCUAUUGAAGUCAAUGACACUGCAUUGUCUCAGCAGCUUGUAGUGGGCUUGGAACCUCAUCAAUCCUGAACUUCUAUUGUUUUUUUAUUCUAAUUUUGCACUAUUUGAUUA